rnacentral:rRNA from 1 species
AAGAACGUGGGUGAGAGUAACUGUUCACCCAGUGACGGUAUUUAACCAGAAAGCCACGGCUAACUACGUGCCAGCAGCCGCGGUAAUACGUAGGUGGCAAGCGUUAUCCGGAUUUAUUGGGCGUAAAGCGAGCGCAGGCGGUCUUUUAAGUCUAAUGUGAAAGCCUUCGGCUCAACCGAAGAAGUGCAUUGGAAACUGGGAGACUUGAGUGCAGAAGAGGACAGUGGAACUCCAUGUGUAGCGGUGAAAUGCGUAGAUAUAUGGAAGAACACCAGUGGCGAAGGCGGCUGUCUGGUCUGUAACUGACGCUGAGGCUCGAAAGCAUGGGUAGCGAACAGGAUUAGAUACCCUGGUAGUCCAUGCCGUAAACGAUGAUUACUAAGUGUUGGAGGGUUUCCGCCCUUCAGUGCUGCAGCUAACGCAUUAAGUAAUCCGCCUGGGGAGUACGACCGCAAGGUUGAAACUCAAAAGAAUUGACGGGGGCCCGCACAAGCGGUGGAGCAUGUGGUUUAAUUCGAAGCUACGCGAAGAACCUUACCAGGUCUUGACAUCUUCUGCCAACCUAAGAGAUUAGGCGUUCCCUUCGGGGACAGAAUGACAGGUGGUGCAUGGUUGUCGUCAGCUCGUGUCGUGAGAUGUUGGGUUAAGUCCCGCAACGAGCGCAACCCUUAUUACUAGUUGCCAGCAUUCAGUUGGGCACUCUAGUGAGACUGCCGGUGACAAACCGGAGGAAGGUGGGGACGACGUCAAAUCAUCAUGCCCCUUAUGACCUGGGCUACACACGUGCUACAAUGGAUGGUACAACGAGUCGCGAAACCGCGAGGUUUAGCUAAUCUCUUAAAACCAUUCUCAGUUCGGACUGUAGGCUGCAACUCGCCUACACGAAGUCGGAAUCGCUAGUAAUCGCGGAUCAGCAUGCCGCGGUGAAUACGUUCCCGGGCCUUGUACACACCGCCCGUCACACCAUGAGAGUUUGUAACACCCAAAGCCGGUGGGGUAACC